UUAACAUAUAGUAUAAUAAUGAUUUCAGAGUAGAAUUUAGUGAUUCGUCACUUACAUAUAACACCCAGUGCUCAUCCCAAGUGCCCUCUUUAAUGUCCCUCGCCCCUUUAGCCCCUCCUCCUGACCCAACACCCCACCGGCAACCCUCAGUUUGUUGUCUGUAUUUAAGAGGCUCUUAUGGUUUGUCUCCCUCUCUGUUUUUAUAUUAUUUUUCCUUCCCUUCCCUUACGUUCAUCUGUUUUAUAUCUUCAAUUCCACAUAUGAGUGAAGUCAUAUGAUGUCUGUCUUUCUCUGACCGACUGAUUUUAAAAUGCAGCAUUGAUAUUUGAUAUGCAUUGUUUCAUGAUAUUUGCAAUUUACAUUAUAAAAUCCUUCUGUAUCAAAAAAAAAAAAAAAAAAAAAACAACAGCGCCCAACUUCAGGUGUUAAACAAUUCUAAAUAAGGCAUCACAAUCUAACCAUCCAUGCCAUAGACGUUUUUUAAAUACCUCUAUUGCAGGUGGCGCAUUAAGCACUGAAAAAUACGCAAAAGGGUGAGGCAAGAAAUGCUGAUGGAAUAGUAAAUAUUUUAUAUAGUUAAUAUAUUUAUAAAAUAAUUAUGGGAUUAUCCAUUACAAAACAGGAUUUGUUUUACUUCCCAAAUCUCUUUUAUUGACUCAUCUCUUAAAUUCUGGUGGUUCCUUAGCCAUGUCUCAGCCAUACUCUUUCCUCCAUCAGUUCCUAGGUGAGCUGGUAUUCACAACCAUCACUUGAGAUGUUUCCUUCUAUGCUGAUAACAAAACCAUUCCUAUCCCUACAAACACAUUUCUUUGUAGGUCAGGGGUCAGCCAAUUAAGGACCUUGGGUCAAAUCUGUCCACUGGCUGUUUUUGUACAGUCUGUAAAUAAUUUUCCCAUUUUUUAAUAGUUGGAAAAAAAUAGUAUUUCAAGACCUGUGAAAACAAUAUAAAAUUUAGAUUUUAGCAUUCAUAAAGUUAUAGUAGAAUGCAGCCACACUCCUCUGUUUACAUAUUUCCAUUGCUGCUUCCCACCUAUUAAAACAGCACUCAGUAGCUGUGACAGAGACCUUAUACAGACUUUAAUGAUGAAAAUAUUUAACACCUGCUUCUUUAUAGUAGAAGUUUGCCCAGCAGCUCUAGAUCAUUUUAUUUACUGCCCUUUGGGUAUGGUACCUCUGCAUCCCAUAGAUAGCUCAAACUCACUAUGUUAAAACUGAAUUAUCUUUCCUCACAAGUCAAAGUCUGUCCCUUUCAAUAAUGAAGUCAUUUGAGACAUCUUUACUCUUAGCACUUAUCAUGGAUCAAGUUCCAAGAGAUUCUGCCUCAUUGAAGUUUCUUGCAUUUAUCUUCCUCUCUAUCAUUAUUGCUAAAGCCUUAAUUCAGACCUCUCACAUGGGCUAUUAAAAGUCAUUCAACACUUUCUCAGUUGUCUACCAUCUCAUCUCCCUCUAAAGUUGUUCUCAACUUCCUAUCCCAUCACACUUAAGGGUUGUUGUAACAAUACUCUGAGGUGUAUUAUUUCAUCACAGUGGAGGAAAUUAGUAGUGUUUGGGUGGAAGUGAGAUAAAAUAUAGUUCCAAGACACUCCAAUAGGCAAGGCACCCUCAUUGUCCUUGAUGAACAGCUGCUAGAAUGACUUGAUCACAUUAUUACCUUAUUUAAAACUCUAGCUAGGCUUAUAAGCUCCAUUAUAACUGGAGUAUGCAUGCAUUUCCAGGAUCUUCUUUUCUAGAACCUUUCUCUUAUACAAAUUCUGCUUCCAGAAUGACUGAGGAAUUCUCAAACACUAACGUUGCCUAAGUGUGACCUACUGCUUCUGGAUUAUGUCUAUGCCUCUGGUUUCCCAGAUCUAUUGGCAUGGUGAAAUAUACCGACGCAUUGGGACCAUCCCUUCUGCAAAGGCUUUUCAGCUAUCCCUGAUCUCUAGAAUUGAGGACUCCUUCAAUGCUCUCAAUGCACCCAGACAACUAACUUACUUAAUUGCUCUUAUUGACCAUAUGCUCAUUGUCCUUUACUACAUUAUAACCUCCUUGGCAUUAGGGACUAAGUUUGUAUCCCAAGACAUAGCAAUUAGUAGGCAUUAGAGAAAUGUUGGCUGAAAAAAUGAAGGGAACUGCAUCUAGCACCUUUCAGAUGACAAUUCGAUGGUAAUAUCCCUUAAUGGUUUUUACUUUACACAGAAGAACAAUCAAGGUCUUGCCUGCAGACACCGCAGAAACUAUAUGUGCCUCUACAUAAAGCUGAUGCUCAGAAAGGACUGAAAAUAAUUGCUGGACGCAGAGAUACAACUAACAGAGAAAAGUACUUCUUAGUACACACUGGGGGAGAUAAGUGCCUCUUCGUGUGAAGGUAAUACUCUUUGGGGUGUUACAGGAUGAAUAAUAGCCAAAGUCAACGCUUUCAAUAGAGAAGAAUGUGCCUUUUAGCAGCGGAAGAAACAAGAUCCUCAUUUGCUGACUAGUGAUAUAUGACAGACAGAAGCUGCCUAAGGUCUUACAGGUUUGCCUGGCUUCAAACUCCAAUUUUCUCCCAUAUGCUAUAGAAGUGACCACAAAAGUACAUAGUAAAAGCCACAUUUUUUAUCUAGGGCCUACCACAUGACAAAUUCUAUUCUAUAUUAUCCCUAAUCCUCACAAAGACACUGUAAAGUUGUUAUUUCUGAUCUUCUGCCUAGUAGUUGAGGAAACUAAUGAUAAAAUGUCUGGAACUCCCAUGUUUAAGUUAAUUGCCUCUAAAUCCCUUCAUUUUACCAAUGUUUGUCUUAUUUCAUUCUAAACUCAUUUUACCCUUUUCAGCUUUGCUAUGGUAGUCUGAAAUGAUCCCAGUUCCCCUCUUGUCUAUAUCCAUGGUCCUUUGGAUUGUGGCUUCCCAAUCAAAAUAUAGAGUCUUUUUCUCCCUUUUUAUGUCUGGGAUUGGCUACGUGACUUACUUUGGCCAAUGAGACAUAACAAACAUGAUACAAGCAGAGUCUUGAAAAAUACUUGAUCUUUGGGACUUGUCUGCCUAUUGUUGGGAAUCCUGUCAUAAUGAGAAUGAGCCUGUGCUAGACUGCUUGGUGAUGACAGCCAUACGGCCAUCAUCCCAGAUGACAUUAAGGUGACUAUCAAGCAUGUGACUGAGUUCCUUCCCCUAUAAAACCAACCAACUUGCUAGCUCCUAAACAUCUAACUUCUAACAUCUAACAGCCAAGUUAGCACACACACAACUCAAGUAAGUGUGAGAACUAUAAUAAAUGUUUCCUGUUUUAAACUACUA